GACGAACGCUGGCGGCGUGCCUAAUACAUGCAAGUAGGACGCAGUUGCGAACGGGUGAGAAACGCGUAGGUAACUACCUAACAGAGGGGGAUAACUAUUGGAAACGAUAACUAACACCGCAUACUAGUAGAUGGACCUGCGUUGUAUUAGCUAGUAGGUAGGGUAAUGGCCUACCUAGGCAACGAUACAUAGCCGACCUUGGGGGGUGAUCAGCCACACUUGGACUGGGACACGGCCCAGGCCCCUACGGGAGGCAGCAGGAGGGAAUCUUCGGCAAUGGGGGGAACCCUGACCGAGCAACGCCGCGGGAGUGAAGAAGGUUUUCGGAUCGUAAAGCUCUGUUGUUAAGGAAGCGGUACUUAACCAGAAAGGGACGGCUAACUACGUGCCAGCAGCCGCGGUAAUUC
rnacentral:rRNA from 1 species